rnacentral:lncRNA from 1 species
GGAAAGUGGGUGAUACUUUUUCUUUACGCUUUUUGUGUAUAGAAGAGCACAUAUAAUUAGAAAACAUUAAGAUAAUAAUACCCCACAUCUACACAUCCAAUAUGAACAUUUGUGUGGAUCUCAGGAGGGCUGGGGGAGAUGCCUUCCAGGCACCAUGGAUGGUGUGGAGGUGGGAAACCAUGGAGAUAUUUCAGAGGGACAGUGAGCCCCUCUGGCUGAGUAAAAAGUAGAUGGAGUUGGAAGAGGAGACUAAGGCCCAACUGCGGGGCCGUAAAUUUCAGGCAAAGGCUUUCGGCCUCUGACCUAUCUCCCUGGCAUGGCUUGCAGCAAGAAGGUUUUGCUUUCAACCGGGGAUGUCUCUCUGCACCCCGUUUCCCAGAUGGCAAGAAGCUCAGACGUGGCCGAGCUGAGCCUGGAUCCCACCUCUGGUGACUGCAAGGCCUGGGUAGAAGGGCAGGGGCCCCAUCUGCCCGCAGAUGCCCUCCAGGCACAGACAGGAAGGUCCCGAGACAGACCUCACGGGAGACCUUCCCAGUCCGGCAGACACAGCCCUGGCCACAGACCCUACUCGAGGAGGGAACGCUUGCGUCACAACAGAAGCCACAGAGGCGGGCCUCAGGAUGCUCCAACAGGCGUGUGUGUCGCCAUCUGUCCUCGUGGGAAGGCUCCUCCCCGCCGGGAUGGUGUCCACCGGAUCGCGACCCAAGCGGGGCUCUCCCCACUCUCUCCGCCUCCCCGCUUCCUUGGAAUGAGGUGGCCGCUCUUUCCCAGCUGCCCGCUUGGGGCGCUGCCAGCAUUAAUCGAGGGCGGCGCCGGGCCCCGCAGCCGCUGGAGCUCGGUGGAGAAACGCUCCGUGGUGACUUAUAGUGGCCCAGAGGCCUGCAUCACUUAAGCCCUGCAUUAGACUCAGAUCCAGGCCUGGAGAGGCCUGUCAAAUCCACAUAAGGAGGUCCUCACAAUUGCCCUCCACCUCCACCAACAGAUUUCUAGCCACAAUGGCGGCAGCAAGCUACAGAAGUCAGGAGCAAAACUGGACAGGGACCGCUGAAUAACUGUCAUGUUUAUAACACCCUUUAUAUUUCUCA